GACGAACCGAGCGAACGUUAUUCGGAAUCACUGGGCUUAAAGGGCGCGUAGGCGGGUCGGCAAGUCAGGGGUGAAAGCCCCCAGCUCAACUGGGGAAGUGCCUUUGAUACUGCCGAUCUCGAGGGAGGUAGGGGCGUGCGGAACUUUCGGUGGAGCGGUGAAAUGCGUAGAUAUCGGAAGGAACACCGGUGGCGAAAGCGGCGCGCUGGACCUCUUCUGACGCUGAGGCGCGAAAGCCAGGGGAGCAAACGGG
rnacentral:rRNA from 1 species